AACGAACGCUGGCGGCAGGCCUAACACAUGCAAGUCGAGCGGUCGUAGCAAUACGUCAGCGGCAGACGGGUGAGUAACACGUGGGAACGUGCCCUUCAGUUCGGAACAACCCAGGGAAACUUGGGCUGAUACCGGAUACGCCCCGGCCUUGGUCCGGGGGAAAGAUUUAUCGCUGAAGGAUCGUCCCGCGUCUGAUUAGCUGGUUGGUGAGGUAAUGGCUCACCAAGGCGACGAUCAGUAGCUGGUCUGAGAGGAUGAUCAGCCACACUGGGACUGAGACACGGCCCAGACUCCUACGGGAGGCAGCAGUGGGGAACAUUGGGCAAUGGGCGCAAGCCUGAUCCAGCCAUGCCGCGUGAGUGAUGAAGGCCCUAGGGUUGUAAAGCUCUUUCGGCGGGGAAGAUAAUGACGGUACCCGCAGAAGAAGCCCCGGCUAACUUCGUGCCAGCCGCCGCGGUAAUAC
rnacentral:rRNA from 1 species